GUAACGCGUAUCCAACCUGCCUUACACUCUUGGACAGCCUUCUGAAAGGGAGAUUAAUACAAGAUGUUAUCAUGAGUAAGCAUUUUCGCAUGAUUAAAGGUUUACCGGUGUAAGAUGGGGAUGCGUUCCAUUAGAUAGUAGGCGGGGUAACGGCCCACCUAGUCUUCGAUGGAUAGGGGUUCUGAGAGGAAGGUCCCCCACAUUGGAACUGAGACACGGUCCAAACUCCUACGGGAGGCAGCAGUGAGGAAUAUUGGUCAAUGGACGAGAGUCUGAACCAGCCAAGUAGCGUGAAGGAUGAAGGUUCUAUGGAUUGUAAACUUCUUUUAUACGGGAAUAAACGGAUCCACGUGUGGAUUUUUGCAUGUACCGUAUGAAUAAGGAUCGGCUAACUCCGUGCCAGCAGCCGCGGUAAUACGGAGGAUCCGAGCGUUAUCCGGAUUUAUUGGGUUUAAAGGGAGCGUAGAUGGGUUGUUAAGUCAGUUGUGAAAGUUUGCGGCUCAACCGUAAAAUUGCAAUUGAUACUGGCAGUCUUGAGUACAGUUGAGGUAGGCGGAAUUCGUGGUGUAGCGGUGAAAUGCUUAGAUAUCACGAAGAACUCCGAUUGCGAAGGCAGCUUACUAACCUGUAACUGACAUUGAUGCUCGAAAGUGUGGGUAUCAAACAGGAUUAGAUACCCUGGUAGUCCACACGGUAAACGAUGAAUACUCGCUGUAGGCGAUAUACAGUCUGCGGCCAAGCGAAAGCAUUAAGUAUUCCACCUGGGGAGUAC
rnacentral:rRNA from 1 species